UUAAAAAGCUCGUAGUUGGAUUUCUGUCGAGGAUGGCCGGUCCGCACUUUGUGCGUGCAUCUGGUUCAGCCUUGGCAUCCUCCUGGGGAACGUAUCUGCGCUUAAUUGCGUGGUGCGGUAUCCAGGACUUUUACUUUGAGGAAAUUAGAGUGUUCACGGCAGGCAAACGCCUUGAAUACAUUAGCAUGGAAUAAUAAUAUAGGACCUUGGUCCCAUUUUGUUGGUUUCUGGAACUGAGGUAAUGAUUAAUAGGGAUAAUUGGGGGCAUUCGUAUUAACGUGUCAGAAGGUGGAAUUCUUGGAUUACGUUACGACGAACUACUGCGAAAGCAUUUGCCAAGGAUGUUUUCAUUGAUCCAGAACGAAAGUUCGGGGAU
rnacentral:rRNA from 1 species